rnacentral:rRNA from 1 species
UACAGAGGGUGCAAGCGUUAAUCGGAAUUACUGGGCGUAAAGCGUGCGUAGACGGUUAUUUAAGUCAGGUGUGAAAGCCCCGGGCUCAACCUGGGAAUUGCAUUUGAGACUGAAUAGCUAGGGUGCGGAAGAGGGAAGCGGAAUUUCCGGUGUAGCGGUGAAAUGCGUAGAUAUGUGGAGGAAUACCGAUGGCGAAGGCAGCCCCCUGGGAUAACACUGACGCUCAUGCACGAAAGCGUGGGGAGCAAACAGG